UUAGAGUUUUGAUCCUGGCUCAGGAUGAACGCUGGCGGCGUGCCUAAUACAUGCAAGUCGAGCGAACGGACGAGAAGCUUGCUUCUCUGAUGUUAGCGGCGGACGGGUGAGUAACACGUGGAUAACCUACCUAUAAGACUGGGAUAACUUCGGGAAACCGGAGCUAAUACCGGAUAAUAUUUUGAACCGCAUGGUUCAAAAGUGAAAGAC
rnacentral:rRNA from 1 species